rnacentral:rRNA from 1 species
GCAUCCAGAGAUGGAUGUGUCUCUUCGGAGACGGUAUGACAGGUGCUGCAUGGCUGUCGUCAGCUCGUGCCGUGAGGUGUUGGGUUAAGUCCCGCAACGAGCGCAACCCCCUAUCUUUAGUUGCCAUCAGUUCGGCUGGGCACUCUAUGGAGACUGCCACCUAAAGUGGAGGAAGUGGGGAUGACGUCAAGUCAGCAUGGCCCUUACUCCGGGGCUACACACGUGCUACAAUGGCCGGUACAAAGGGUUGCGAAGCCGUGAGGUGGAGCGAAUCUCAAAAAGCCGGCCUCAGUUCGGAUUGGAGGCUGCAACUCGCCUCCAUGAAGUCGGAAUCGCUAGUAACCGCAGAUCAGCUACGUUGCGGUGAAUACGUUCCCGGGCCUU